UUCCCCCAUCCGUGUAUAUGAUCUCAUGUGCAGGAUACUGGUUACAAAUGCUUUGGAACUCCCGUAGCAGUAUAGGCAGAGUUAUAUUCCGCCAUUCAAGAUGUUCGCAAAACCGCACAUAAGAAGGGCGCGUGAUGGUCGGACGUGUGCGAUAUAGGUCCAAGUCAACGUUAAACAGCACAUUAUUUGGAUGAUCCGGGGAGGAACUCCCGAUUCACAAUACAGACUGUCCACUGGACUUGUAGGAAACGCCCCUAUGCAGUAUCUUAUGGCAGCGUUGUGCACACAGUCUAGCGUUGCAAGCAGCGAUUUUCGUGCGGACGAAUACGCCACGCACCCAUAGUCAAUUUGGGACAGUAUCAAUGCCCUAUAGAUCGUAAUGAGACAUUUUACUUCCGCUCCCCAUUUAGUAUGUGCCAAUACUUUUAACACAUCGAGACGCCUGAUACACUUCGUUUUUAAUUGUUCGAUGUGUGAGAUCCAUCUCAGUGCUUUGUCAAACGUAAGCCCCAAGAAUUUGGCAGUUUCAGUACAUCGGAUAGGAUUGUCGUCCAGGUAAAGUAGCGGAUCAUAGUGCGGAGUUCGUAGUCUGCAGAAGUGCACACAUUGGGUUUUCUCCCGUGAAAAGGUCAUUCCAAUGUUUGCUCCAUUCCCAACAAUUCGAUUGAUGGCCGGUUGCAGUUUACGACUAAUUUGACCGAUUGUUUUUCCAGAGAAAAAAAUGGCUAUAUCAUCCACAUACAUACAUCUACUGACAGACUCGGUUACAUUUAUAGUAAUAUCGUUGAUGGCCAUUGCAAACAGCGUGCAGCUAAGGGUGGACCCUUGAGGUACUCCAUUUUCCUGGAUCUUAAGUUCAGAGAACUUAUCUUGGACCUUCACACGAAAACGCCGGGCAGAUAGAAAGGAUUUUAUUAAAAGCGGUCAUAUCGUAU